rfam:Trichuris trichiura, WGS project CBXK01000000 data, contig: TTRE_379
CUCUAGUUUGACUCUGUGAACAGACAUUGAAGGUGUAGCACAGGUGGGAGACCGGUGGGCGCUCGCGGUACCGUGCCGACAGUGAAAUACCACUACUCUGAUCGUUUCUUUACUUAUUCGGUGAGGCGGAAGGAACGGUCGCUCGCGUGGCCGUCUAACGGCGCGCGACGACUGCCACUUUAUACAGCAUGUAGCUUAUAAACUAUUGCACAUCUGGAGAGUGAGAAGAAAUACCCAAAACGAGCAUGAGACUGGUUAAACUGGAG